AUUGAACGCUGGCGGCAUGCCUUACACAUGCAAGUCGAACGGCAGCAUGAUCUAGCUUGCUAGAUUGAUGGCGGGUGGCGAACGUGUGAGUAAUAAAUCGGAACGUUCGCUGUGGUGGGGGAUAACUAGUGGAAAGAUUAACUACUACCGCACACGGCCUGAGGGUGAGGGUGGGGGGGAGCAAGGCCUCAUACUUUAGCCGAGGUCGGAUUAGCUAGUUGGUGGGGUAAAGGCUCACCAAGGCGACGAUCAGUAACUGGUCUGAGAGGACGAUCAGCCACACUGGGACUGAGACACGGUCCAGACUCCUACGGGAGGCAGCAGUGGGGAAUUUUGGACAAUGGGCGAAAGCCUGAUCCAGCAAUGCCGCGUGUGUGAAGAAGGCCUUCGGGUUGUAAAGCACUUUUGUCCGGAAAGAAAUGGCUUUGGUUAAUACCUGGGGUUGAUGACGGUACCGGAAGAAUAAGGACCGGCUAACUACGUG
rnacentral:rRNA from 1 species